CCUACGGGUGGCUGCAGUGGGGAAUUUUGCGCAAUGGGCGAAAGCCUGACGCAGCAACGCCGCGUGGGUGAUGAAGGUCUUCGGAUCGUAAAACCCUGUCGUUGGGGACGAAGGUGGGGGCGUUAAUAGCGUUUCUGCUUGACGGUACCCGGAGAGGAAGCCCCGGCUAACUCUGUGCCAGCAGCCGCGGUAAUACGUAGGGGGCGAGCGUUGCUCGGAGUUACUGGGCGUAAAGCGCGCGGACGGUUGUGAAAUCCCUCGGCUUAACCGAGGUCCCGCAUCCGAUACUGUCUGGCUCGAGUCUAGGAGAGGAAAGCGGAAUUCCCAGUGUAGCGGUGAAAUGCGUAGAUAUUGGGAGGAACACCGGUGGCGAAGGCGGCUUUCCGGACUAGUACUGACGCUGAGGCGCGAAAGCUAGGGGAGCGAACGGGAUUAGAUACCCUGGUAGUC
rnacentral:rRNA from 1 species